CAGUGCUGCCUCUAUGUUUUUACAAUACAAGCUACAAAAAUUACGAUAGUUGGAUUGUAAAUUUUCUGAAAUGGUAUAGUAUAUGCCAUCUGAAGCGUUUACGUAUGAAAGACAAGUGUUGUCACAAACCAUGAUGUGAUGCUUGUAUGAGUGUAUAUAUAUAUAUAAAUACAAAUGAUGACAUCUACUUUGUCUGUAUUAUUUGUGGUUCAACUAUAUAUAUUUAUAAAUCAGUUCAUCUUUAUCCACAGUGUAGUGCAGAAAUAGAGGUUAUUAUUCAUGACGUUUUUCGGACAAUUGUAAAUAAGAAAUUUAAAAUAAAAACUGUACUUUCGUCAUUACAAACCUACAUAGAUUGUGGAAUAUAAUAAUUUGGUGGUGAUAAUCUUCAUUUGUCGACAAUGAAUAAUUUUACCCGGCUUUGCGAGAGGUAAAACAUUUCAAUAACCUCAAAUUAUGGACAUUCAACAUUUCUUUAUGAUACUGAAGUUAGCAGACGCCUAAUAAUUUUUGGAUUUUUUUAAAAAUGAUAAAUUAUAGAAAAAAAGUAUUCGAAAAAAUUGCACCUAUGGUUUUUUUAAUUUUCUACAUGUGCGUAUUUUGAAUACAAAUAAAUGAGUUAUUUAUUCAUAAAUUUUAUAUAUACCAAAAAAAUAUGUUUGAAAAAAUAUUAAAUAAAUGUUUUAUUAUUACUACUUCAA